AAGUCCAGCUCUAAUAACCGUGCAGUGUCUUGAGUGGCUCCCCCCACCCCCACUCCUCGCCUCGCCGUGGAACUCCUAAGACAGGCCACAGCCCAAGACUCCAGUUCACAAGCCGAUGGGCGUCCUUUGAGCUCCGAGACCACUAAAUCAGCACCUGACGUCAUACAGAUCUACUGAAACAUUGUUUUACCUCGAUAAUUGUAAACUUGAUUUAAUAAAAGGUUCGUGUUAUUCA